rnacentral:rRNA from 1 species
CCAAGGAGUCUAACAUGUGCGCGAGUCGGUGGGAUUGUUUUGAGACACGAGACUCACAGGCGCAAUGAAAGUGAACGCAUUUUUGCUUUAUUGCGGUGCAGAGGCAAGAUCCAUUCGCCCGUCCCUUCAAAACGGACGGUGAUUGAGUGGCGCACUGCCGGCCCGUCGCGAUCGCUAACGUCGAUGCGGCGGAGCAUGAGCACACACGUUGGGACCCGAAAGAUGGUGAUCUAUGCUUGAGCAGGACGAAGCCAGAGGAAACUCUGGUGGAGGUCCGUAGCGAUUCUGACGUGCAAAUCGAUCGUCGGACUUGAGUAUAGGGGCGAAAGACUAAUCGAACCGUCUA